rnacentral:rRNA from 1 species
GAUGAACGCUGGCGGCGUGCCUAAUACAUGCAAGUCGAGCGAACAGACGAGGAGCUUGCUCCUCUGACGUUAGCGGCGGACGGGUGAGUAACACGUGGAUAACCUACCUAUAAGACUGGGAUAACUUCGGGAAACCGGAGCUAAUACCGGAUAAUAUAUUGAACCGCAUGGUUCAAUAGUGAAAGACGGUUUUGCUGUCACUUAUAGAUGGAUCCGCGCCGCAUUAGCUAGUUGGUAAGGUAACGGCUUACCAAGGCAACGAUGCGUAGCCGACCUGAGAGGGUGAUCGGCCACACUGGAACUGAGACACGGUCUAGACUCCUACGGGAGGCAGCAGUAGGGAAUCUUCCGCAAAGGGCGAAAGCCUGACGGAGCAACGCCGCGUGAGUGAUGAAGGUCUUCGGAUCGUAAAACUCUGUUAUUAGGGAAGAACAAAUGUGUAAGUAACUAUGCACGUCUUGACGGUACCUAAUCAGAAAGCCACGGCUAACUACGUG